rnacentral:rRNA from 1 species
AUACGGAGGGUCCAAGCGUUAUCCGGAAUCAUUGGGUUUAAAGGGUUCGUAGGCGGGUCAAUAAGUCAGAGGUGAAAUCUUGCAGCUUAACUGUAAAAUUGCCUUUGAAACUGUUGACCUUGAAUUACUGUGAAGUGGUUAGAAUAUGUAGUGUAGCGGUGAAAUGCUUAGAGAUUACAUAGAAUACCGAUUGCGAAGGCAGAUCACUAACAGUAUAUUGACGCUGAUGAACGAAGGCGUGGGUAGCGAACGGGAUUAGAAACCCCAGUAGUCC